rnacentral:rRNA from 1 species
UCUAGCUAGAUAACUGGUGCCCGUACCGCAAACCGACACAGGUAGUCAAGAUGAGAAUUCUAAGGUGAGCGAGAGAACUCUCGUUAAGGAACUCGGCAAAAUGACCCCGUAACUUCGGGAGAAGGGGUGCUCUUUAGGGUUCACGCUCUGAAGAGCCGCAGUGAAUAGGCCCAAGCGACUGUUUAUCAAAAACACAGGUCUCUGCUAAACCGUAAGGUGAUGUAUAGGGGCUGACGCCUGCCCGGUGCUGGAAGGUUAAGAGGAGUGGUUAGCUUCUGCGAAGCUACGAAUCGAAGCCCCAGUAAACGGCGGCCGUAACUAUAACGGUCCUAAGGUAGCGAAAUUCCUUGUCGGGUAAGUUCCGACCCGCACGAAAGGCGUAACGAUUUGGGCACUGUCUCAACGAGAGACUCGGUGAAAUCAUAGUACCUGUGAAGAUGCAGGUUACCCGCGACAGGACGGAAAGACCCCGUGGAGCUUUACUGUAGCCUGAUAUUGAAAUUCGGCACAGCUUGUACAGGAUAGGUAGGAGCCUUAGAAGCGUGAGCGCCAGCUUACGUGGAGGCGCUGGUGGGAUACUACCCUAGCUGUGUUGGAUUUCUAACCCGCGCCAUUGAUCAUGGCGGGAGACAGUGUCAGGCGGGCAGUUUGACUGGGGCGGUCGCCUCCUAAAGUGUAACGGAGGCGCUCAAAGGUUCCCUCAGAAUGGUUGGAAAUCAUUCAUAGAGUGUAAAGGCAUAAGGGAGCUUGACUGCGAGACCUACAAGUCGAGCAGGGUCGAAAGACGGACUUAGUGAUCCGGUGGUUCCGCAUGGAAGGGCCAUCGCUCAACGGAUAAAAGCUACCCCGGGGAUAACAGGCUUAUCUCCCCCAAGAGUUCACAUCGACGGGGAGGUUUGGCACCUCGAUGUCGGCUCAUCGCAUCCUGGGGCUGUAGUCGGUCCCAAGGGUUGGGCUGUUCGCCCAUUAAAGCGGUACGCGAGCUGGGUUCAGAACGUCGUGAGACAGUUCGGUCCCUAUCCGUCGUGGGCGUAGGAAAUUUGAGAGGAGCUGUCCUUAGUACGAGAGGACCGGGAUGGACAUACCUCUGGUGUACCAGUUGUCGUGCCAACGGCAUAGCUGGGUAGCUAUGUAUGGACGGGAUAAGUGCUGAAAGCAUCUAAGCAUGAAGCCCCCCUCAAGAUGAGAUUUCCCAACUUCGGUUAUAAGAUCCCUCAAAGAUGAUGAGGUUAAUAGGUUCGGGGUG